rfam:Oryzias latipes DNA, chromosome15, strain: Hd-rR.
UGUCCAAAGUGAGGGGCUGAGGUCAACAUUUCCAGAGAAUGUCCAAAUCGGAGAAAGUUUUGAAUUCCUGAAUGAAUUUGUAGAAAGGCGCUUAGGAUCAUUAUGUCAGCUUUAUGGAGGACGGAUUAAGCGGAGUCUAGAUGCUACGCCUUGUACACGGUUCUCUCACAAUGUGA